rnacentral:sRNA from 1 species
GGGAAGGAUGAGAAGCUUCGACUAAGGUUCGACUCGAGCGCCAGCGAGAGAGCGUUGCCGCAGGCAACGACCCGAAGGGCGAAGCGCGCAGCGCUGAGUAAUCCUUCCCCCACCACCA